UUUACAUGCAAAGUAAAUUCAAACAUGUAUUAUUAUCAAAUUUUAGGAAAAGUGGAUAUUAAGUACCUACUAUAACAGUAAAUCUUAUGCCUCAUUUGUCGCCAUGAUCGUUACUACUCGAGAUGACUCUUACAGUGCAGAGCAAACUGCACACACAGGCGGAGCUCCCGCCAGACCCGGACGGGUGUUGCUAACCCUCUGUGGCCCCAACAACAUCAGCAGAUGUUCUGCAACACCAACCAUUGAACAAAGAGCGCACAAAAGCCGUUCUCGAAAAUCUAAAUGUGCCUUUAAGAAGUAGGCUAGAAAAAAAGAGUGGAGACCACGUUACUCCACCCUCCUCUAAUUUCCCAUUCCCUUUUCUGCACUGCCCAUUCUUGCCUCCUUGCUUUUCCUUGCCUCUGUCCCUUCCUGCUCCCUGGAGAGCACAUGUCAUAGGCCCACUCAGACCUGACCCAAACCUCUGGAGGUGGGGCCCGGGAAUUUGUCUGGAAGCUCCCCCGGGAAUUCCGGCGACCAGCUCAGUUUGCCAACCACAGCUCAGCGUGAUCAAGUUCAAGGUCCUCAAGCUCAGCCUAAAAAGACCUCACGCCAGCCCAGCUCCACAAUCGCAUGCCCCUGAAAGCCUGCUGCCCAGCCUGCUGCCUGCCAACAUCCUGUUUUUCCUCCAAACUCCAUCUCCUACCACCUCCCCCACGUCCCACCCCCUGCAUCCAGAAUGACUCCUCCCGUCCUCAGCAUCCCAGCUGCAUUCGCUCGUCCACACGGCAGUCCGCACAUGGUGGAGAAGUGUCCCUGCUCGCCUCUCCGGGACUCAUGCACGACCCGCCGACAGGAGGGCAGGUUCCGCGUCCUCACGGGGCGGGCUGGGUGUCUAGGCGGCUGAACUGAAUCAGAGUCUGCAGGUGUGUGCAGACUGUGGCAACAGCAGCAGCAGUGCCAGAAGCUGCCCGACUUUACCCCUUGGGUAUCCGUGUGAGAUGGGCUAGUCGAACCUCCAGCACCCCUGCUGGGUGUGGGCUUCCAUCCCUGACCUUUUUGUUUAACCUCAACACGUGGUUUUCGUGUCCUUAACAUGAUGGCCACAGGUA
rnacentral:lncRNA from 1 species